CUGAGCUGUUUGGCCAGCCCAAGAAUUAAGUUUUGGGGCUGGGGAGAUAGCUCAG
rnacentral:miRNA from 1 species